rnacentral:rRNA from 1 species
CGGGACACGUGGUAUCCUGUCUGAAUAUGGGGGGACCAUCCUCCAAGGCUAAAUACUCCUGACUGACCGAUAGUGAACCAGUACCGUGAGGGAAAGGCGAAAAGAACCCCGGCGAGGGGAGUGAAAAAGAACCUGAAACCGUGUACGUACAAGCAGUGGGAGCACGCUUAGGCGUGUGACUGCGUACCUUUUGUAUAAUGGGUCAGCGACUUAUAUUCUGUAGCAAGGUUAACCGAAUAGGGGAGCCGAAGGGAAACCGAGUCUUAACUGGGCGUUAAGUUGCAGGGUAUAGACCCGAAACCCGGUGAUCUAGCCAUGGGCAGGUUGAAGGUUGGGUAACACUAACUGGAGGACCGAACCGACUAAUGUUGAAAAAUUAGCGGAUGACUUGUGGCUGGGGGUGAAAGGCCAAUCAAACCGGGAGAUAGCUGGUUCUCCCCGAAAGCUAUUUAGGUAGCGCCUCGUGAAUUCAUCUCCGGGGGUAGAGCACUGUUUCGGCAAGGGGGUCAUCCCGACUUACCAACCCGAUGCAAACUACGAAUACCGGAGAAUGUUAU